rnacentral:rRNA from 1 species
UACGUAGGUGGCGAGCGUUGUCCGGAUUUACUGGGCGUAAAGGGCGUGCAGGCGGUUUGUUAAGUGCAGGGUGAAAGCUCCCGGCUCAACUGGGAGAGGUCCUUGCAUACUGGCGAACUCGAGGGAGGCAGAGGAAAGUGGAAUUCCCGGUGUAGUGGUGAUAUGCGUAGAUAUCUGGAGGAACACCGGUGGCGAAGGCGGCAUCCUGGACCGGCAUUGACGCUGAGGAGCGAAAGCCAGGGGAGCAAACGGG